rnacentral:SRP_RNA from 1 species
GUCCUUGCCUCCGCGUGGCGGUAUGUCACCCAACUCCCCCAGGGCAGGAAUGCAGCAAGGGUAAGUGGCCUCUUCCGGGUACGUGGAGGUUUUCGUAUAUGC